CCGAAACUAAACGCGCCCCGCUGACCCUUACCGGGGAGGGAAGCGGGGUGCUUUGUCUCUGGACCCGACUGGCUGCGGGGACGAGAGAGGCUGAGGCGUGGAUUAAGUGCACUGGAGAGUGACGGUGAGGAUUUUUAAUAAGGCAGUGGCGCAGGAUGUUCCGCGGCCGAGUGAGGACGCAGGUGCUGGGACCCCACUGUUUCUGUAGGCGACGGGCCCCCCCUUCUUCCCAACGGCUGCCAGCAAGGGGUUGACGGAUUUAAAUGGUGCUUAUACAUAGCCGCAGGUUUAUGUGUAAUUGUGGAGUAGUUCAGCCUGGAAGACACCUCUGGAGAUCAUCUACUUUACCUCUGCUUCUCAAAGCGGGGUCACCUGGAGUUGGUUGCCCAGGACCUUGUCCAGUUCGGUUUUGAGUAUCAACAAGGUUGAAGAUUUCACAGCCUCUCUGGACAACUUUUGCCAGUGUUUGACCACUUUGACAGUAAAAAAGCUUUUUCUUAUAUGUAAA